rnacentral:rRNA from 1 species
CCUUUAUAAUAUAAAAGGUGUAACCUGCCCAAUGAUAUAAAAAUAAUUAUAAACGAUUUAAGUAUUAUUUAAUGGAUGCAGUAACUCUGACUGUAAUAAAGUAGCAUAAUAAAUUGCCAUUUAAUUGAUGGAUGGAAUGAAUGGUUAAACGAAUUUUUCACUGUCUUAGAAAAAAUUUUUUAAAAUUGAAAUAAUAGUUAAGAUGCUAUUUAAAAUUGUAAGACGAAGAGACCCUAUAGAGCUUUACUAUAAAUUUUUUUAAUAUAGCUAGAAAAUUUGGUAGUUUAGUUGGGGCGACUGUUUUUUAAAAAUAACAAAAAUAAGCAAUGUAAUAAUAUUAUUUAUUGUAUAAUUUAAUUAUUUAACAAUUACUAUAGUAGGCUAUAUGACCCGUUAUUAUAUAAAAUAAUAAAUAACGAUUAAUUAAUAAAAGCUACCUUAGGGAUAACAGGAUAAUUUUAUUUUAGAGUUCUUAUCAAAAAUAAAGUUUGUCACCUCUAUGUUGAAUUAAGAUAUCCUAAUAAUGCAGUAGUUAUUAAGGGUAGGUCUGUUCGACCUUUAAAAU